rnacentral:tRNA from 1 species
GUUAUGGUUCAGUGGUAGAGCACUUGCCUGGCAUGUGUGGAGCCCUGGGUUCGAUACUCAGCAUUACA